CGAAGGGGGCAAGCGUUGUUCGGAAUGACUGGGCGUAAAGGGCGCGUAGGCGGUCUGUUGCGUCGGGCGUGAAAGCCCCGGGCUCAACCCGGGAAUGGCGCUCGAUACGGGCAGGCUUUGAGUCCGGAAGAGGGUGGUGGAAUUCCCAGUGUAGAGGUGAAAUUCGUAGAUAUUGGGAAGAACACCGGUGGCGAAGGCGGCCACCUGGUCCGGCACUGACGCUGAGGCGCGAAAGCGUGGGGAGCAAACAGGAUUAGAUACCCUGGUAGUCCACGCUGUAAACGAUGUGCGCUAGCCGUCGGGCAGCUUGCUGUUCGGUGGCGCAGCUAACGCGAUAAGCGCACCGCCUGGGGAGUACGGCCGCAAGGUUA
rnacentral:rRNA from 1 species